rnacentral:tRNA from 1 species
ACCUGGGUGGCUCAGUAGGUUAAGCGGCUGACUUCGGCUCAGGUGAUGAUCUAUCUCAUAGUUUGUGGGUUCGAGCCCCACGUCAGGCU